rnacentral:ncRNA from 2 species
ACUUGCGGAAGGAUCAUUA